GGCCUGGAUCCGCUCGCCGACGCGCCGCAGGACCCGCACGGCCUCACCACCCGUCGCCGCCGUCGGGGCUGCCGCACGCGCCACCAGCUCGCCUCCUCCCCACCAAUCCCUCGUCCUCGCCACCAACCCUAGCCAUUCAUCCCUGCCACCUCUCCUUCCCCACAUCCAUACUCUCCAUCCGUUGUCGCCGCCAUACCGCCACCCCUAUCUCCCCUCCUCAUGCAUCCUCUCUCCUCGUAACAUCUAGUCGGACGAGAAUGCGACGACGGCGAUGGUGGCAUCUCCCGGCGACGACAGUGGGGUGGGCGAGGUUGCAAGGCGACGACCCGAGGCAGCGAUGCAGGAGAAGCUCGGGGGCCUCAUGGGUUGGGGAGAUGGCUUGGGGUCCUCAUGGAUUGGCGAGAUGGAGGCCACCCGAGUUUCUUCGAUCGAUCUGCGAUCUGGUCAGGGCCACGGCAGCGCGGGCGAGGGUCACAGGCGAGCGACCCUCUGCAGCCUGUUGUAGCUCUAUUGCUACACAUAUAUGGGCAAGAAAUGCAAGUAUUGUGGUUCUGAUGAUGUCUGAGUGUAUCUUGUGUAUGUGCAGAUAAGAAGCCCUGAUCAGAAGUGCUUUAUAGAUGUCCUGUAAGCUUUCUAGACAUACAUGUUGUUUCCAGUCUCUCUCGGCUUCCCCAGUCCUGAAGAUGAGACAAUGACAUGUACUACAGAAAGGAAAAGUAAAAAAAGAUUUUGAAUGUAUAUGACGAAAUGAAGGCCAACAAUAUCGAAACCUGGUCUACAAGAACCAAACAAACCUACAAUGAAGAGUUGUUUAGACGAUGAAAUCAUGUUCAAUAUUGAUGGAACAUGUAGUGAUGGCUCUACCUAAUAUCACCAGCCUUCAUGUCUUCCCUGUUGACAUCAGAUACAAGACUCAGCUAGGAGUUAAGAGACCAACUCUAUCUAUACAAUGCAUCACUACUAAAAUAGCUUGCUUUAUAAAGCCAAUGUAGGCUAUCAAGUGAUUUCAUAGCUUUCUUUUGAGCUAUCAUGCUACCAUGUAAUGAAAUAUAUAACGCGGUGUGCCUAGGUAUCUAUUAAAUUGGCUUUAAAUCA